rnacentral:misc_RNA from 1 species
GAUGAAGAACGUAGCGAAACGCGAUAAGUAAUGUGAAUUGCAGAAUCCAGUGAUUCAUCGAAUCUUUGAACGCACAUUGCGCCCGCCAGCAUUCUGGCGGGCAUGCCUGUUCGAGCGUCAUUUCAACCCUCGACCUCCCCUUGGGGAGGUCGGCGUUGGGGACCGGCAGCACACCGCCGGCCCUGAAAUGGAGUGGCGGCCCGUCCGCGGCGACCUCUGCGCAGUAAUACAGCUCGCACCGGGACCCCGACGCGGCCACGCCGUAAAACACCCAACUUCUGAACGUUGACCUCGAAUCAGGUAGGACUACCCGCUGAACUUAAGCAUAUCAAUAAGCGGAGGA